AGUUGGUUCAAAUGCAGUGGCAUUUACAACUAAUUGAUCACAACCAGCUAUAGAUUCCUUUGUUUCCUCUCCACUCCCACUGCUUCACGUAACCAGCCUAAA
rnacentral:Y_RNA from 1 species